rnacentral:rRNA from 1 species
CCUUACGGGUGGCAGCAGUGGGGAAUAUUGGACAAUGGGCGAAAGCCUGAUCCAGCCAUGCCGCGUGUGUGAAGAAGGCCUUCGGGUUGUAAAGCACUUUCAGUGGGGAAGAAAGCCUUGGGGCUAAUACCCUCGAGGAAGGACAUCACCCACAGAAGAAGCACCGGCUAACUCCGUGCCAGCAGCCGCGGUAAUACGGAGGGUGCGAGCGUUAAUCGGAAUUACUGGGCGUAAAGCGCGCGUAGGCGGUCUGAUAAGCCGGUUGUGAAAGCCCCGGGCUCAACCUGGGAACGGCAUCCGGAACGGUCAGGCUAGAGUGCAGGAGAGGAAGGUAGAAUUCCCGGUGUAGCGGUGAAAUGCGUAGAGAUCGGGAGGAAUACCAGUGGCGAAGGCGGCCUUCUGGACUGACACUGACGCUGAGGUGCGAAAGCGUGGGUAGCAAACAGGAUUAGAUACCCCAGUAGUC